GACGAACGCUGGCGGCGUGCUUAACACAUGCAAGUCGAACGAUGAAGCCCUUCGGGUGGAUUAGUGGCGAACGGGUGAGUAACACGUGGGCAAUCUGCCCUUCACUCUGGGACAAGCCCUGGAAACGGGGUCUAAUACCGGAUAUGACACACGGCCGCAUGGUCUGUGUGUGGAAAGCUCCGGCGGUGAAGGAUGAGCCCGCGGCCUAUCAGCUUGUUGGUGGGGUGAUGGCCUACCAAGGCGACGACGGGUAGCCGGCCUGAGAGGGCGACCGGCCACACUGGGACUGAGACACGGCCCAGACUCCUACGGGAGGCAGCAGUGGGGAAUAUUGCACAAUAGGCGAAAGCCUGAUGCAGCGACGCCG
rnacentral:rRNA from 1 species